rnacentral:rRNA from 1 species
GAUGAACGCUGGCUACAGGCUUAACACAUGCAAGUCGAGGGGAAACGCCGGGGAAGCUUGCUUCCCCGGGCGUCGACCGGCGCACGGGUGAGUAACGCGUAUCCAACCUGCCUCUGACUGAGGGAUAACCCGUCGAAAGUCGGCCUAAUACCUCAUGGUAUCGUCUGCGGGCAUCCAACUACGAUUAAAGAUUUCAUCGGUCAGGGAUGGGGAUGCGUCUGAUUAGCUUGUUGGCGGGGUAACGGCCCACCAAGGCUACGAUCAGUAGGGGUUCUGAGAGGAAGGUCCACCACAUUGGAACUGAGACACGGUCCAAACUCCUACGGGAGGCAGCAGUGAGGAAUAGUGGGCAAUGGGCGAGAGCCUGAACCAGCCAAGUAGCGUGCAGGAAGACGGCCCUAUGGGUUGUAAACUGCUUUUAUGCGGGGAUAAAGUGAGGGACGUGUCCCUCAUUGCAGGUACCGCAUGAAUAAGGACCGGCUAAUUCCGUG